GUUUUUUGUUAUUAUAGCAAUAAACUUUUUAUAGGGAUAUGUUUGUCUACCCUGAUCUGAUGCUUCUUCUGAUUCUUCUCUCUGGACAGUCCAGAAUUGAUACAAAGUAAAUUCAGCAUUCUGACUACCAGGGAAGCAAAGAGCAAAGAAAGGCUUCUGCUGUAAAACUGCUCUGCCCUAUGUAACAACAAUGGCAAUACCUGCCAUACAAUACAGCUGUAUGCACACUGCACAGACCACGGCGGGGAUGAGAACCACAAGCCAGGAACACAGGCUGGAUAUAUGGAAGAAGGCACAGGCACGUAGUGUGAAGAGGAAGGGACCGGCACAUACAGGGUGCAGGGAAGGGGCCAACAUCCCCGGGGACUGGAGAUCCUCUAAUGUUCCCAGUCCGAGCACUCACUGCUCCAGCUCUGCGACAUCACAGGACCGGGUGCGACAUUAUAAGGACACGUCUGUAGGGGCAACAUCAUAGAAAGGGAAUUUUCCGUGUGAUUCUUCCUCCGCUUAUUACACUGUGAUACAAGCGAAUUGCUCCCUUCCUGGAAAACGUGUGUCUGUAUGAAAAUAAUGUAUCUGCUGUGUGUAUGGGUCUCUAUAUAUCUAUCUGUACGUGUGUGCAUGCUUGUAUAUGGCCCUUGUAUUUGUGUGUGUGAUCCUUUGGCUUUGUUGUGUACAUUUAUGUGUCUGUGCUACCUGUAAUAGAGCUGUAUACUAAUAGAGGGAAAUGUCCAGUCUCUGCCACAAUCAUAGACCUGCAUUGUACAACCAUAGACCUGCAUUGUACAGCUGAACAAUCCAUCUUAUUUAAAUGCAUUAUCUAUCUAUCUAUCUAUCUAUCUAUCUAUCUAUCUACCUAUUGUAUAGCUAUCUUUCUAAUAUAUAUUUAUUAUCUAUCUGUAUUAUAUCUAUCUAAUCAUAUCUAUCUAUCUA